rnacentral:rRNA from 1 species
AAACUAACAAGGAUUCCCCUAGUAACGGCGAGUGAAGCGGGAAGAGCUCAAGCUUAAAAUCUCUGUGCAAGUUUUGCAUGGCGAAUUGUAGUCUAUGGAUGCGCUAUCAGUGCAGCCGCGCGGGCCAAGUUCCUUGGAAGAGGACAGCAUGGAGGGUGAUACUCCCGUUCCUGCCUGUGCGUGUUGUGCGUACGAUGCGUUUUCUUUGAGUCGCGUUGUUUGGGAAUGCAGCGCAAAGUAGGUGGUAAAUUCCAUCUAAAGCUAAAUAUUGGUGCGAGACCGAUAGCGAACAAGUACCGUGAGGGAAAGAUGAAAAGAACUUUGAAAAGAGAGUUAAAGAGUACCUGAAACUGCUGAAAGGGAACCGGGUCGUUGCCAGUGUCUAUAAUCUGCGGCAUAUUUCAUUGUCGGAUGCGGCCGUGUGGCGCGUUUGGUAGUGGGUUCGUCCUGCACCGCGUGUUGCUGUGGUUGCGUUUGGUGAUGCCCUGUGCUGUGGUGGGACGUCAGAGUCAGUUCGUAUGCUGCGGGAAAUGGCUGCUGGGGAGGUAGGUCGGGGGUUCGCCCUCGGCUGUUAUAUCCUGGUGGACUAGUCGUCGUGGUUGGGACUGAGGUGCCUACAACGUGCUUUUGAGUGCAGAGGUUUCUUCGUUUGCGCGUCGGUUGGAUAGCUUGCUAUGCAGUUGGCGUUGUGUGCGGAUGGAUGUCUUUGCUAACUUGUUGCCGUUCGGGACUUUGACGAAAUGGCGCGAUCCGAC